UACGAAGUGUGCAAGCGUUAUUCGGAAUCACUGGGCUUACAGGGUGCGUAGGCGGUCUGUUAAGUAGGGUGUGAAAGCCCGCGGCUCAACCGGGGAAUUGCGCCCUAAACUGGCGGACUGGAGUGAGAUAGGGGUGUGCGGAACUUCCGGUGGAGCGGUGAAAUGUGUUGAUAUCGGAAGGAACGCCGGUGGCGAAAGCGGCACACUGGAUCUCAACUGACGCUGAGGCACGAAAGCCAGGGGAGCGAACGGG
rnacentral:rRNA from 1 species